AUGGCAAGCAUCAGCGCCACGGCCGUCUUCGUCGCCGCCGGACCGCCACGGUCUCUAUGGCUGCCUCGGCUGAGUGUGGCCAAGGCCGCGAGGCUGAGGUGCAGCUGCUCCAAGGACCUCAAGAAGAAGGCUUCUUCGGCCCUGGCUAUGGCGGUGGUCAAGGGCGCGCCGCUGCUCGCUGAGGCGAGCGCCAUGGCGGUGGCGGCAGCCCCGGUGCUGGCCCCGGCGCUGGUUCUGGCGCUGGUGGACGAGCGGGUGUCGACCUACGGCACCGGGCUGAGCCACGACCUGCUGGGGUGGAUCCUGAUGGUUGCCUUCGGCCUCGCCUUGUCCUACACCGUCUACUCCUCCAUCCUCCAAGACGACAACGACGACGACCAGUCCACCGCCGGCGGCAUCACGAUCUGA
rnacentral:rRNA from 1 species